CACGUCCAUUAUAGCAUUCCUCCUGAUGGCUCGUACCCGCAGUACGUGGAUCGAUUCCGUGGAUCACGCGGUUCCCUCGGUUUCCGAUCGAUUGUGUCGAUAAAUCGGCGAUUUCACGCGCGAACAGACGCGUUUCCUGCGAACAGUGGUGCCGUUGGUAUUGCCUCGCGAGUGAAGAGAAACGAUACGAAUCGAAUUUAUGAAACGUCCUUUGAACGAAACCUCGGAAUCUCGGUUACAAAGAGGGGAAUAUUCACGCCCGAGACUCACUCGAACACACUGGCCCAACUGAAAUCUAUUUAGAUUGGAAUUUUUCGGAUUCCCGAGGUGUCUAGUAAAAUGCUGACGUUACUCUAUAACGUUCGACUGAUUUUACGGAGAUUCUCUUUUAGAUUGUUACUUAAUCCUGUUGCACCGUUCAAGUUCACCAAAAUGAAAAUGAUACUUCAGUAGGUGAAAUAAAAUACGAAUGUAACCAGCUUCACGAGAGAUUUGUUUUUCCUCUACGAAGUAUGACGUAUAUUCCGCUGUAUUCCAUCGAGUCCCCUCGGUUUCAGUGAAAUAUGCAAGAUCGUGGAAAAAUUUCUUGUCCGAUGCGUUCGCGAAAUUUUUACGAAGCUCGCGUUUGCUGGGAAGGACAAUAGCCGAUAUUAUUAUAAAUUGAAGUCGAGAGGAAUCGUAAUAUUCACGAUUUUCGUCGAUGUUAAUUUUCGAUAAUAAAUACAGUAUUUGCAUAUUUUCGAACGAAACUGACGAGGCAUGAAUGCAUCAGAUGCCAAAAUAUUUUUCGUGGCCACUGUGUUCGUGUGUUGUUGCACUGGAGAUGAUUAAAAUUGAAUAUUUACGACGGAGACUGCUACUCUCCUUCAACAUUCAGAGUAGAUUCGUUUAAUGAUAAUUCGAGUUUAAAAUUAUGCACUUUAUGGCGUGAUAUGCAUAAUAAUAUGCGUGUAAAAAUGUGAAUGACAUCCAACAGCCAGUGAAACUGUGCCACUGAAGAAAAGUGAAAAGAAAAGUGCACGGGUGUACUGCCAUCUGACAGCGGCUCAUUCUCAUAAAAUCACAGAACAAUGUUCAUCGACUGUCUACCUUGGUUUAAUUGUCUGAGAUGCACCUCAACUUCGCCGGAAACUCCCAAGGUUUAUGGGUUGAGCUUCAAGUGAGUGUUUUUCUUUCUUUUUCUGUUUCCUUUCGUCUAAAUUAUUU